GGAUAUAGCUUAGUUGGUAGAGUGUUGCUCUGCAUGCAUGAGACCCUGAGUUCAAGCCCCAGCACCA
rnacentral:tRNA from 1 species